GUGAAUAUGGCGAAGUGGUUAACGCAUCUGGUUGUGGUUCAGACACGCGCGGGUUCGAUCCCCGUUAUUCACCCCA
rnacentral:tRNA from 1 species